rnacentral:rRNA from 1 species
AUUGAACGCUGGCGGCAUGCUUUACACAUGCAAGUCGAACGGUAACAGGCCUUCGGGUGCUGACGAGUGGCGAACGGGUGAGUAAUGCAUCGGAACGUACCCAGAGGUGGGGGAUAACGCAGCGAAAGCUGUGCUAAUACUGCAUGUGAUCUGAGGAUGAAAGCGGGGGACCGAGCAGCAAUGUUUGGCCUCGCGCCUUUGGAGCGGCCGAUGUCGGAUUAGCUAGUUGGUGGGGUAAAGGCCUACCAAGGCGACGAUCCGUAGCUGGUCUGAGAGGACGACCAGCCAAACUGGGACUGAGACACGGCCCAGACUCCUACGGGAGGCAGCAGUGGGGAAUUUUGGACAAUGGGCGCAAGCCUGAUCCAGCAAUGCCGCGUGCGGGAAGAAGGCCUUCGGGUUGUAAACCGCUUUUGGCAGGAACGAAACGGUGUCCGCUAAUACCGGGCGCUAAUGACGGUACCUGCAGAAUAAACACCGGCUAACUACGU